rnacentral:sRNA from 1 species
AAAAGCUAAGUCUGGGGAAGUUGAUAUACCUCGAUUUUUACUGCUUUUAGUUAUGAUUUAGGUAUAGUUUUUAGAGUCCUUUUGUUAUUUGUAGAGUCUUUUCUACUCUUUUUCAGGUCUUUACAUGUUUGGGAUGCAUUUGGAGAUUAUGGAGCAUUCUGGAGCAACACAGACAACUUAAGCUUCAGAAGCUAUUCGGAGACGGAAAUUGACGUAGGUGUCGAUCGACACAACCCCUGGU